rnacentral:lncRNA from 1 species
AGCAUGUAUAGUAUUUUAAGAAUAAAUAAAUAUCAAUUGAAUCAGGUCUUUCUGAAGGAAUGGCACCUCCUCUUAGUGCAGCUGAAAGACAGCGGCAAUACAGAGAACGAUAUAAUACUGACCCAGAAAGGAGAGAGUAUCUAGAGAAAGAGGGAGAAAUGGAGGAAAGAUAAAGAGACAGGGAAGGCAAUAGCUGAACUCAGUGACAGAGUGCAGCGUGCAGAAAGGAAGAAAUUGAGAGAUUUUUAAAGGAUACUCAGAGCCAGGGCAUUGCUGCUGUCCCAAACACCCCUCUCAACUCCUGAAAAUCAGCCUGGGCCAGAGAUGCCUGCCUUAGAUGCCACUAAAGGAACGAUGAAGAGUUAUCAGGUUAUCAGUGUCUCACCAGGCCAGAUAAAAUACAGGGACAUUACCUGUAUGUGCAAGAAGGAUAGUGGCAUGUUGGACUGUCCUUGUUUUCAGCUCAAAGAGGCAACUCUGGGUGACCCUGCAGCAUCUAACAAGCUCCCUGCAUCUCAUGAUAAAUCUGACACCACAUGGCGACCUGGCACCGUUAAACUUAAUCACAUAGGGGAGUGGUGUGUUGUCAGUUAUGACCAUGAAGGAUACCCUGGGAUCAUCAAGGAUGUAGAGAAACAUCACAUUAAAGGUGAAGUGCAUGCACCGGAAUGGCAUCAACUAAUUCUUCUGGCCAAGUCCAAAGGAACAUAUUUGUUUGUUCUCUGAUGGACAGAUAGUUUGUCUGAUGCCAGAGCCACAGGCUGUUAACACUGUGUGCAGAUGGAAAAAUCCACCUGGAAGUAUGUGGAAGAGCAUUUGGGGUGAAAGGGGGGAGUGUCACGCCCUGAUCUGUUUCACCUGUCCUUGAGAUUGUCUACACCCCCCUCCAGGCUGCCCAUUGGCUUUAUGUAGCGAGUAGAAAAUAACAUGGCUAUAUACAGUAGAGAGUACCAGUAUCGAGUCAAUGUGCAGGGGUAUGAGGUCAUUAUGUACUGUACAUAUACAGUAGGUAGCAGUAAAGUAACUAGGCAGCAGCAUAUGUGUUGAGUGUGAAAGUGUGUGGCAUCAAUAUGCAUGCGUGUGCAUGUUGUGUGUGGGGGCGUAUGUAGUGUGUGUGUUGGGUUGUCAAAGUAUGUGUGAGUGGAGUCCAGAGUUAGUGCAAGAGAGAUAGUGGUAAAAAGGGUCAAUACAGGUAGUUCGGGUAGCCACUUGAUUAGCUAAAUUCAGCAACAACAACAAAAAACGUCCCUUUUUCAGGACCCGGUCUUUCAAAGAUCAUUUGUAAAAUCCAAAUGACUUCAGAUGUUCAUUGUAAAGGGUUGUUAUGCAAGCCUCUUGGAGGUAACGCAACACCUUGCUACACUCAACUCCCCGUGGAGGUAAAGAGGUAUGAGACUGUAGGUGCGGGUAGGGAUGACAGAGGCAGAAUAUAUUACCAUUUACAUGUAAUUUAUUCCCGUCACACAGUAAUUUGGGGAGAAGGGGCUGGAUGGGACCAAAGCAAAGAAAGUUAAAGAGCCCCUUCUCCUACCUUAACUACCCACAACUUGACCAACUAGCACACUAACCAAAAUACAGGGGUAGUCCGCCCAGGUCUUACCUAGUGUGCAUAGACAGUACAUACUACGGGUAUAUUUAUGCCCGCAGGCCUCAUGCCUAAGCACUCCCAAG